rnacentral:sRNA from 1 species
CACCAAGAAGUCUGGGUUCGAGUCUUAGAUACUGCGGUUUAUUAGCAAAUUUGCAGAUUAAUGGAGACAAGUGUGCAGGAAAUCUCCAACGAUGUACAAUUAUAGCGGUUCACCAGGAUUCUACACAGAUAAGAUCAUUGAAGGUGUCCAUCAAGAGCAUGGAGAAAGAGAAGAAGGUGUCGUCUGUCGUGGAUCUAAUAAGGGAGGAAGGAAUUGCCCGUAGUACAAUCGUCUAUGUAACAGUUUUCAUAAUUUGCAAUAAAUAAUAAAUCUAAGACGGCAAAAAUAAGUUUAAUGUUAGCUAGAUUAGUCAACAUUUAUAUGUUUCGAU